rnacentral:rRNA from 1 species
GACGAACGCUGGCGGCGUGCUUAACACAUGCAAGUCGAGCGGUAAGGCCCUUUCGGGGGGUACACGAGCGGCGAACGGGUGAGUAACACGUGGGUGACCUGCCCUUAGCUCUGGGAUAAGCCUGGGAAACUGGGUCUAAUACCGGAUAUGACUCCAUAACGCAUGUUGUGGGGUGGAAAGCCUUGUGCGGCUAGGGAUGGGCCCGCGGCCUAUCAGCUUGUUGGUGGGGUGAUGGCCACCAAGGCGACGACGGGUAGCCGGCCUGAGAGGGCGACCGGCCACACUGGGACUGAGACACGGCCCAGACUCCUACGGGAGGCAGCAGUGGGGAAUCUUGCGCAAUGGGCGAAAGCCUGACGCAGCGACGCCGCGUGGGGA